rnacentral:lncRNA from 1 species
UCUUUUGAAAAUGAGAGAACAAGUAUUUUGUGAGUUUUCAAAUAAAAAAUGAAAGAAUUUUUUUCUAACAUUAUGAAAGGCUUGAGAGUAAAAAUUAUUUUAAACGUGCUAAAGAUGAAGCAUAAAAAUGGUGAAAAAAUCAUGUUUGAUUCGAAACAAGACAACUUAGUGAUUUAAGCCAAGUGGCAAAGUAAUGUGGAAAAAGA